GACGAACGCUGGCGGCGUGCUUAACACAUGCAAGUCGAACGGAAAGGCCCUGCUUUUGUGGGGUGCUCGAGUGGCGAACGGGUAAGUAACACGUGAGUAACCUGCCCUUGACUUUGGGAUAACUUCAGUAAACUGGGGCUAAUACCGGAUAGGAGCUCCUGCUGCAUGGUGGGGGUUGGAAAGUUUCGGCGGUUGGGGAUGGACUCGCGGCUUAUCAGCUUGUUGGUGGGGUAGUGGCUUACCAAGGCUUUGACGGGUAGCCGGCCUGAGAGGGUGACCGGCCACAUUGGGACUGAGAUACGGCCCAGACUCCUACGGGAGGCAGCAGUGGGGAAUAUUGCACAAUGGGCGGAAGCCUGAUGCAGCAACGCCGCGUGCGGGAUGACGGCCUUCGGGUUGUAAACCGCUUUCGCCUGUGACGAAGCGUGAGUGACGGUAAUGGGUAAAGAAGCACCGGCUAACUACGUG
rnacentral:rRNA from 1 species